GGUCGCCAUACAGGAGCCAUAGUAGUCAACAGUUUUCUGCCACCAACGUGAUUCUGCCAUUCGCACUCGACCCGUGAGGAGAGGCAGCCGGUGAGAGUUCCAGCGGUCUCCCUACGGAGCAGAGCGAUGGUAAAGAUCCGAGGGCCCGAGAUGUUUUGCAUAGGAGGCGCUAUCGGCGAACA